GAUAUGACAUCAAAAACACAGGCAACAAAAGCAAGUGGAACUGCAUCAACCUAAAAAGCUUCUGCAUGGCAAAGGAAACGGCAGAAUGGACAGGCAGUCUACAAAAUGCGAGGAAAUGUUUGUGAACCAUGUAUUUGAUAAGGGGUUAAUCUCCAACAUAUGUAAAAAACUCAUACAACUCAGUAGCAAAAAAAAAAAAAAAAAGGGCCUAAAAAUAGGCCCUUUGCUGCCGUCCGUCAAUUUAUUUCUCCAGGAAGAAAAAUGGCAUCUGUUGCAGUUGAUCCACACCACCCAAGUGUCGUGACUUGGGUGGUCAACCUGCCCUUGGUGAGUUCCAUGUAUGACCCCAUGUCCUCAGCCCAUGUCAGUACAAAGGGCCAGUGUCCCUACUUGAAGUCUGUGUGUGAGAUGGCAAAGAAGGGCGUGAAGACCAUCACCUCGGUGGCCAUGUCCAUUGCUCUGCCCAUCAUCCGGAAGCUAGAGCUGCAGAUUGCAGUUUUGCCAAUAUCUAUGCCUGUAAGGAGCUAGACAGGAUUGAGGAAAGACUGCUUAUUCUGAAUCAGCCAUCAGCUCAGGUUGUUGCCAAUGCCAAAGGUGCUGUGACGACUACUGUAACUGGGGCCAAGGAUUCAUCACAGGGGUUAUGGACAGGACCAAAGGGGUAGUGACUGGCACUGUGGAGAAGACCAAGUCUGUGUCAGUAGCAGCAUUAACACAGGCUUGGGAAGUCAGAUGAUGCAGCUCGUGAGCAGUGGCAUAGAAAAUGCACCACCAAAUCAGAGCUCUUGGUAGGACAGUACCUCCCUCUCACUGAGGAAGAGCUAGAAAAAGAAGCAAAAAAAGUUGAAGGAUAUGAUACGGUUCAGAAGCCAAGUUGUUACGUUAGACUGGGAUCCCUGUCUACCAAGCUUUACUCUGUGUCUACCAAACUUCACUUCCUACCAGCAGGCUCUCAGCAGGGUUAAAGAAGCUAAGCAGAAAAGCCAAGAGACCAUUUCUCAGCUCCAUUCUACUGUUCACUUGAUUGAAAUUGCCAGAAAGAGUGUGCAUAGUGCCAAUCAGAAAAUUCAGGAUGCUCAUGAUAAGCUCUACCUCUCGGGUGGAGUGGAUAAGGAGUAUUGGAUACGAUGAUACUGAUGAGUCCCACUGUGCUGAGCACAUUGAGUCACAUCCUUUUGCUGUUGCCCACAACCUGACUUAGCAGCUCCAGACCACAUGCCAUACCCUUCUGCCCAACAUCAACGGAUUGCCACAGAACAUCUAAGGUCAGGCCAAGCACAUGGGGGUGAUGGCAGGUGACAUCUACUCAGUGUUCCACAAUACUGCCUCCUUUAAGGAAGUGUCUGACAGCCUCCUCGGAAUCUUUAAAUGACUUGAUGGGUUAUCUUGUUAAUGACAUGCCCCUCUACUGGCUGGUAGGUCCCUUUUACCCUCAGCUGACUGAGUCUCAGAAUGCUUAGGACCAAGGUGUGGAGAUGGACAAGAGCAGCUAGGAGGCUCAGUGAUCUGAGCACAAAACUAAUUAAACCUGCCCCUGUCACCAGCGCAUGAUGUGGCCAGCCAGUUAACACCUUUUGUUAUGUUGAAAUUAACCUGUAGGCAACCCUAAAUUGGGAAGCAAGUAGCUAGUAAAAAGGUCCUCAAUUAUAGUUAUUUCCAACUGGAUUAAGAGCUUUAAAGUUUCUGGCAUUAGCAGAUGAUUUCUGUUCACCUGGUAAGAAAAGAAUGCUAGGCUUGUUAGAGCCUAGCCAGAACUCACAAAAAAUUCGAGUGCACUUAUGUUCUCAUUCUGUGGCCAUUGUGUUACUCUCUGUUACCAUUUGUGUUGAACAAAAACAUCUUCAUGCGGGCUGGGUGUCUGCUCUGGUAUGAUUUGAGCAGGACUCUUUACUGAUUUAUCUCAUGAUUGCUUGUACAACUUGAUUUUAGUUUUUUAUUUCUCAAAUAGGAAUACUACCUUUGAAUUCAAUAUAAUUCACUGUAAGAUUUAACAACAAAAAGUGGACCAAGGACCUGAAUAGACAUUCUCCAAAGAAGACAUAAAAGUGGCCAAGUAUAUAUGAAAAAUUGCUCAACAUUGCUAAU